AUGCUGGGGAUGAUACCUGGACUCCGAUAUCUUUCACUAUCCGUUAACCCACUUGGUGGGUCAAUCCCAGCCUCACUCGGGCAGCUUCAGUUGCUGGAGAAGCUCGGCAUCGGAAAUGCUAGCUUGGUUUCUACUCUUCCGCCCCAGCUGGGGAACCUUACCAGUCUCAAGAUCAUGGUACUGAACGAGAAUCAUUUAUUCGGAACUUUGCCACCAUCGUUGGCCAGGAUGCAGGAAUUGCAAGAUUUUGUAAUAGAGGAGAACAGUAUCAGUGGUACCAUUCCACAAGAGAUGUUUACAAACUGGACCAAGCUCAAGUACUUUGAUGUAAAUCACAACUUGUUAGCUGGAAGCAUCCCUUCUCAGAUCAGCGAGUGGAAGGAGCUAUUGUGUCUCCUCCUUUCCCACAACAACUUUACUGGCUCGAUAACGGUGGAGGUUGGAAGCAUGCCAAAUUUGCAAGCAUUGGACUUGUCAAAUAACUACCUUACUGGAAUUAUGCCAUCAAAUAUCAGUAAUGCAUCAUCUUUGAAACUCCUUCGCGCCAGCUUCAACCAUCUUGAGGGUGAGAUUCCUGCGACCAUCUCCUCACUGGUAAACCUUGUUGCUCUCUUCUUAUCUGACAACAAGUUUACGGGUAUCGGUCCUAAUCUUGACAGCAAGCAGUUGCCAGUUGUCAAAGUGGCCAAGAAUAGCGGGUUCUUGGGAAAACCAUUGUAUGUCUUUUGUCAACUAACACUUCUGCGAAUCUUGGAUCUAUCAAACAAUCAGUUGUUUGGUGAGCUUCCUGGUUGCUUGUGGAAUUUGAGAGAUCUACAAUUCUUGGAUUUGUCGAGCAAUGCUUUUGCUGGGGUAGUUCCAACCUCAGCUAACUACAAUUCGUCGCUAAGUUUGUUGCACUUGUCCAACAACAAGUUCACAGGUUGCUUUCCAGCAGUGUUGAAGAACUUCAAAAGCCUUGUGAUUUUGGAUCUUGGGAACAAUAAAAUGUCUGGUGCACUUCCUCCGUGGAUAGGGGAAAGCAAUCCUUUGCUGAGGAUUCUCAGACUGCGAUCAAACAUGUUCCAUGGAAGUAUUCCCAGGCAGCUACUAAAACUCUCUCAUCUCCAACGUCUUGAUCUCGCUGAAAAUACUUUUGUAGGUUCUAUAACAGAAAAUUUUAUAAACUUCUCCUCGAUGAGUCAGGCAUCCAUGAUGCAGCCGGUUCCAACAACUUACAUAGAAUUGAGACCCUUCCGAUUUUCUGAUGAUGGCAGCAUAGGUAUACUUUGGAAGAGACAGGAAUACACCUUUGACGAAAGAUAUCUAUUUGUGACUGGCAUUGAUCUCUCCGGCAAUUCUCUCUCCGGUGAAAUGCCUUCAGAGUUGACAAAUCUUAGAGGGGUCCAGUUACUAAAUAUGUCAAGAAAUAAUCUAUCUGGUGGUAUCCCGAAGGACAUUGGCAAUCUCAAACUGUUAGAAUCCCUUGACCUCUCGUGGAAUAAACUGUCUGGUCCUAUUCCUCCUAGCAUGUCAAACUUGAAGUUCCUGAGCUCUCUUAACCUCUCAAACAACCGUCUAUCAGGUGAGAUACCCACAGGAAGUCAACUCCAGACACUCGAGGACCCAUCGAUCUAUAGCAAUAACCUCGGACUCUGUGGUCCCCCAUUGAGCAUUCCAUGUACAAACAAUUCAGAUACUACGACACCGGUGGAUGGGGCAAAGGAACAUCACGAUGAACUUGAAAGGGUGUGGAUGUACUACUCCAUGAUUGCUGGAACUGUCUUCGGUUUGGAGCAUUGUUUUUCUGCAAGAUCUGGAGGCUUGCUUUCUUCAGCUACGUCGAUGCGCUGCACCAAAAUUUUAUACUGA
rnacentral:rRNA from 1 species